rnacentral:lncRNA from 1 species
AAACAAACUGUCCUGACGAACACAAACAUUGAAUCGUGUUACAGAAUCCUUCACUAAUCCUGCAGGAAUAUGAGAAAAGCUGUUUCUUCGUGUAGACUGACCUUCCUCAACUCCUGUCUCCGCUGCCUCAUAAUAGCUGCGAAUCUUCUCAAUAAUCUGCUUGUCACUUUUGGUCUCUGAUUUGCAUGAUUCACCACAACUGGCCUCUUGGAAUGUCAGCUCUUCUAAUUGAUUUUCCUCAGUAGAGACAUGCAGAGUUGGUGAUACUCCCUUUGGCUCAUUUGGUUGAGAAAUAUUUUCUUCACAGGAUGGAUGGCUGUCCUCGUCUUGAACUGAUUCAGUUUUCUCUGCAUCGGAUCUUUGGACAUUAAUGAUCGCAUGUGUAUUUUCAUCCAUCUCAGCUAUAAGUGGUUUGGAUUCCUCUGACUCCUGUCCUUCCAAUGGCUGAACUUCUAAGGUCUCUGGAAUCAACUGACACUAGAAGUAAAACAAUUGAAAACACUUUAUUUUAGAUGGGUACCUUAAGAAAUGAACAGCAAUAUUGCUACAAAAUCACUGCUGUAAAUUAUGUUUACGAAUAGCAAAAAAAAAACAUUGUUCUGAAAUACUUAAGCAAUUACAGUCUCUGGAUGUUGUUUGAGGUUUUAUAA